UGAUCUAUUAGCAAUUCGAUUUCAAUUCCCAGGAGCCUAAAAUCUUUUAUGCUUAAGAAUUGCAAAGUGAUUUCUUAGGAAAUUCCGAGGUUGCUUUUUUUUUUAUACACCCUGUAUGCCGAACUGUAGUGCGUGAAAUAUUGAUGGGGUGCAUAUAUUAGGAAAAGGAGACCUUUAGAAAUUGAAAUAACGUUUAAACAAAAGAUCGUCUGCACCUGGGAACAAUCUGCCAUGCAUACUGUACGUAGAUCGCAUGUUACGCACUCGUGGGCUUAGCAAAGUGCUCCAGGAUUCAAAUUAUAACAAUGGUUGAUUCCUAAAGGUCUCCUUUUUCUAAUAUAUGCAUCCAUCAAUAUUUCACGCACUACGGUUCAGCGUAUGUGCAAUUGAAAAGGCAUUCAAAUUUUAACAAUAUGCUUGAUUUCUAAAGGUCUCCUUUUUAGUGUGAAGUUUCUUCGAAACUUCACAGUAUUGUGAUGGUGGGGAAAAUUCAAACGAAACAGUCAGUCAGUCAGUCAUUCAGUCAUACAGUAAACUUUCCGGGGGGCGUGUACGA